rnacentral:lncRNA from 1 species
UUAGUCUCUGGCCAAGUACUCAUUCAAAGGACGGCUUUUACUAUACCCUAAAUCCCUACCCAUCUCACUUGUCUUCCCUCCCACAGAUUCUGGGGGUUGCUAUGCACAAGCUUGGUACAGGAGCUCCCUGGUCCUCCACCCUCGGUGCCGUGCAGCUGGCUCUCUCAGCCUCCAUGAUCCCUGCUUUGUAGCUGAGUUUGGGCAAUUGGAUUAGCAUAUUUCAAAGGCUCUUUGCCAUGAAGAUUAAAUAUCUGCUUGAAGUGGAAAGUUGAAGUGACGUCCUCCUUGGACAGAAGCACAGAGGCAAUGACAUUCCCUAUGAAAAACCGUUUAAAAUCCCACUUAAGAUGUUUAAUUAUUUCACACCCAGUUUUGUAUAGAUUACUCUAGAACACUCUGAUAGGGAACAGAUUUUUUAAUCACAUUUGGUAGAUUCUAAAUUCUAAAUUCAAAACACUUUAAUAAAUGAAAUCACCAGUUACUUUUAUUGCUUCAGAAUUUCUACCCUGCAGUUCACAAUAAGGGCAGCAGUUGUAUCUUUUCUCCAGGCCAUGCUUCCUGGCACUUGGGUCACACAGCAGCACAUGUUGCUUUUCUAUAAUGCUUUUUCCCUUGGCUAUUUGGCCACUUACCAUAAAGGAAGUGAGGACAACAAGGGUAAAAGACUGAAACAUGGGAUUCUGCUACUGUUCUUUUUUUAUCCAAAAAAAAAAAAAAAAUUAAACAGCACAUGCUCUCUACAUCAUAUGUCUUUGCUUUGGGUUCGCAUUUUGGGUAUAUUCAGAAGUACCUAGAUGAAUUCUGGCCAAACUGGAAAGACACCAAGAUAAUUAUCAGUUAUGUCUUCAAGCAGAUACCAGCUUAUUGUUUAAAUGCCGAGUAAAAAGGCACAGGAAUAAGGAGUAGGUUGAAAAGCUUGAAAAAUGCAUCAACGUUUUAACUGCUAAAAUCUCCUACCUCACUAGAUGUAAUAGGUAAACUUCCAAAUGGGGGCCAUGUCACUUUAAGGAAAUUAAGGCCCUAAACAUAGGAGAAACACAGCCAAUCAUGACUCUCAAAAAUAAUUCAUUUCUAUGUUCCUUAGUGCACAAGACAUCACUUAGACCCAAAAAGAAAUAUUAAGCUUCAUGGCGUGGCAGCUGCCAGAAGCCAGUUCCCUUAUCAGUCCAGCAGGAGUGUAAUUAAAGACAAUAGCUGGAGCAGCUGUAUUGAAAAAACAAGUCAUUUGUCUUCCCCCUUCCCCCACCUCUUCUGCUCACGUAGUUAAUCUGAACACAGCAUCAGCUCCAUCAUCAAGCUUCUCAAAAGGCAGAAUAAUGGGAAACAUAUCUGUUUCCCACUGUGGAUUGUGAGUGUUGAAGAAAUACUUGCUCUUAUCUUGCUAUGGCAUUAUAUAAAAUGCAAGCAAUUUAGCCCUGGAGAUUCAAAAGCUCCUGAGAUAGGAGAAUGUUGUUAUUGCAGAACAAGAACAAUUAUCUUCAGGGAUAGGGAGAACCUGAGAAAAUGGCUCAUACACAUUGGGUCUUCUAAAAAAUGUUUAACAGGCUCUUCAGGGGAAAACCUGGAUUUAUAAUAUUUUCCAAUUUCUGUGGUGUAAAUCUUCUCACCAUGACUGAUUUCAAGCUACCAAUACAACAUCACUGAACACCAAGUUGGAAAGAAAUCUACCAUAGGAAACCAUUAAACAGUACUCCUACCCCACAUACAAUAGUAUAGAUAAUAGUAAAAUUACUAGAAAGUGAUGAAUUUUGAGGAUUUUUUACCUUUGAUUUUAAUGCAAUUUAUUGAUUUUGUGUGUCUUUUUUUAGGGCCACACCCAUGGUGUAUGGAGGUUCCCAGGCUAAGGGUUGAAUCAGAGCUGUAGCUGCUGGCCUACACUACAGCCACAGCAAUGCCAGAUUGAAGUCGCAUCUGAGACCUACAACACAAUUCAUGGCAGCACCAGAUCCUUAACCCACUAAGCUAGGCCGGGGAUUGAACCUUCAUCCUCAUGGAUACUAGUCAGAUUUGUUUCUGCUGAGCCACGACGGUAACUCCUGAAAUUUUAUAUAAUUUAAUUUUUAAUAAUCACUAUGCUUAUUGCCUUGCAGAAUUCCAAAAAAAAAAAAAAAAUCACCUCUCACAGCUGGUCCUAGCUGACUCCAUCCCACCACUAUCUAUACUAUAUGCUGGCUACCACUUUACUAGAAGUAACAAAUAGCUAUUUAGUUAUAACAAGUGAAGGAGAAUGCAUAAUAAUAAUUUUCAUUUUUUUAAAAAUGGAGUUUAGUCAUUUCUUUCAUAGGUCAUAAGAUCUACCUCUCCAGAAUGUUCUCCCUGAAGCCAUAAGAAAGAUCAUCUAGCAACAUGCUUUUGUGAUGUUACUAAAACAAUGAAAAUCCAGGUGCUUUUCAUAAUCAUGAUUGUCGAGAAUGUAUUUUGUAAUUCUUUCUUCUUCAUAGGUCUAUGACUAAAUGCUAAUAGGAAACUUUGGCUGAGGCACCAAGAUAAUGAAUGUCACAUUCCAAAUACAAAGCUAUGCUGAGAACUUGUAAAAGAGAUGAUCAAAAAACAGUUGCACAGACUUCCACUUCUGGGAGGAUGGAGUUGACAUAUUUUCCCUGUCCUUUCCAGUAAGUAUGACUAAACAUCUGGACAUUAUAUAUAAAACAAAUGAAAGAAGACUCUGAAAGGUAGAGAGACACUGAUAGACCAGCUAGGGAGUAACACAGAGGUGAGUUUCCUGGCUUUUCUUUUUGCCUCAUAAAUCCCAGAGGAGGAGCUGAAGAAGCCAGCAACCCAGAAACACCAAUGG